rnacentral:rRNA from 1 species
UGGAAACUGGGAGACUGAGUUGCAGAAGAAGGACAGUGGAACUCCAUGUGUAGCGGUGAAAUGCGUAGAUAUAUGGAAGAACACCAGUGGCGAAGGCGGCUGUCUGGUCUGUAACUGACGCUGAGGCUCGAAAGCAUGGGUAGCGAACAGGAUUAGAUACCCUGGUAGUCCAUGCCGUAAACGAUGAUUACUAAGUGUUGGAGGGUUUCCGCCCUUCAGUGCUGCAGCUAACGCAUUAAGUAAUCCGCCUGGGGAGUACGACCGCAAGGUUGAAACUCAAAAGAAUUGACGGGGGCCCGCACAAGCGGUGGAGCAUGUGGUUUAAUUCGAAGCUACGCGAAGAACCUUACCAGGUCUUGACAUCUUCUGCCAACCUAAGAGAUUAGGCGUUCCCUUCGGGGACAGAAUGACAGGUGGUGCAUGGUUGUCGUCAGCUCGUGUCGUGAGAUGUUGGGUUAAGUCCCGCAACGAGCGCAACCCUUAUUACUAGUUGCCAGCAUUCAGUUGGGCACUCUAGUGAGACUGCCGGUGACAAACCGGAGGAAGGUGGGGACGACGUCAAAUCAUCAUGCCCCUUAUGACCUGGGCUACACACGUGCUACAAUGGAUGGUACAACGAGUCGCGAAACCGCGAGGUUUAGCUAAUCUCUUAAAACCAUUCUCAGUUCGGACUGUAGGCUGCAACUCGCCUACACGAAGUCGGAAUCGCUAGUAAUCGCGGAUCAGCAUGCCGCGGUGAAUACGUUCCCGGGCCUUGUACACACCGCCCGUCACACCAUGAGAGUUUGUAACACCCAAAGCCGGUGGGGUAACCUUUUAGGAGCUAGCCGUCUAA